CCCGCCCGACGUUUCCGGCCCGCCCCUUCUUCCGUAGACUGCGGCCGCAAGGACGCGUCCUUCCCGAUCUGGCUGGUAUACCUGCUGGCCCCGCUCGGGGCGCUGCUCCUGGUGGGGCUCGUCUUCCUGUGUCGCAGGUGGCCGUUGAUGCAGAAGCUCUUCCCGCGUGUCCCUCACGUGAAAGACCCCGUCGGCGACAGCUUUCAGAACGAGAGGAUGAUGGCCUGGGACCCCGAGCAGCAGAGCCAGGAGGAGUGCCCGGUGGUCCGCGUGCAGGUGUUGGGGGAAACGUGAAUCUCAUGCAACCGGGGCUUCGUUUUUCCACCGGGAGCAGGGCGCACAGCCGCCUGGU
rnacentral:lncRNA from 1 species